GUACGCCUACGGGGGGCAGCAGUGGGGAAUAUUGCACAAUGGGGGAAACCCUGAUGCAGCGACGCCGCGUGAGUGAAGAAGUAUUUCGGUAUGUAAAGCUCUAUCAGCAGGAACGAGACAAGACGGUACCUGACUAAGAAGCCCCGGCUAACUACGUGCCAGCAGCCGCGGUAAUACGUAGGGGGCAAGCGUUAUCCGGAUUUACUGGGUGUAAAGGGAGCGCAGGCGGCGCGGUAAGUCUGAUGUGAAAGCCCGGGGCUCAACCCCGGGACUGCAUUGGAAACUGUCGUGCUGGAGUGUCGGAG
rnacentral:rRNA from 1 species